rnacentral:siRNA from 1 species
AUCCUAGAACCGUAAUCGCUCUGA